AGGAAGAUGUGAAGUUGAUGCAUGACAUGGGCCUGGAUGCCUACAGAUUCUCUAUCUCCUGGAGCAGAGUCAUUCCUAAUGGUAGAGGGCCAGUUAAUCCAGAAGGGGUGCAGUAUUAUAAUAACUUGAUCAAUGAACUCAAGAAAUAUGGAAUUGAACCUCAUGUCACUCUUCUUCACUUUAACCUCCCCCAAUCUUUGGAAGAUGAAUAUUCUGGACUCUUG